rnacentral:tRNA from 1 species
GAUCCCGUAGCUCAGUUGGCAGAGCAUCUGACUUUUAAUCAGAGGGUCCCAGGUUCGAGCCCUGGCGGGAUCACCA